GACGAACGCUGGCGGCGUGCUUAACACAUGCCAGUCGAACGGAAAGGCCCUGCUUUUGUGGGGUGCUCGAGUGGCGAACGGGUGAGUAACACGUGAGUAACCUGCCCUUGACUUUGGGAUAACUUCAGGAAACUGGGGCUAAUACCGGAUAGGAGCUCCUGCUGCAUGGUGGGGGUUGGAAAGUUUCGGCGGUUGGGGAUGGACUCGCGGCUUAUCAGUUUGUUGGUGGGGUAGUGGCUUACCAAGGCUUUGACGGGUAGCCGGCCUGAGAGGGUGACCGGCCACAUUGGGACUGAGAUACGGCCCAGACUCCUACGGGAGGCAGCAGUGGGGAAUAUUGCACAAUGGGCGGAAGCCUGAUGCAGCAACGCCGCGUGCGGGAUGAUGGCCUUCGGGUUGUAAACCGCUUUCGCCUGUGACGAAGCGUGAGUGACGGUAAUGGGUAAAGAAGCACCGGCUAACUACGUG
rnacentral:rRNA from 1 species